rnacentral:rRNA from 1 species
UCGAGCGGAUGAGAGGAGCUUGCUCCUGGAUUCAGCGGCGGACGGGUGAGUAAUGCCUAGGAAUCUGCCUGGUAGUGGGGGACAACGUUUCGAAAGGAACGCUAAUACCGCAUACGUCCUACGGGAGAAAGCAGGGGACCUUCGGGCCUUGCGCUAUCAGAUGAGCCUAGGUCGGAUUAGCUAGUUGGUGAGGUAAUGGCUCACCAAGGCGACGAUCCGUAACUGGUCUGAGAGGAUGAUCAGUCACACUGGAACUGAGACACGGUCCAGACUCCUACGGGAGGCAGCAGUGGGGAAUAUUGGACAAUGGGCGAAAGCCUGAUCCAGCCAUGCCGCGUGUGUGAAGAAGGUCUUCGGAUUGUAAAGCACUUUAAGUUGGGAGGAAGGGCAGUAAAUUAAUACUUUGCUGUUUUGACGUUACCGACAGAAUAAGCACCGGCUAACUCUGUGCCAGCAGCCGCGGUAAUACAGAGGGUGCAAGCGUUAAUCGGAAUUACU